rnacentral:rRNA from 1 species
AGUGAACGCUGGCGGUAGGCCUAACACAUGCAAGUCGAACGGCAGCACAGUAAGAGCUUGCUCUUACGGGUGGCGAGUGGCGGACGGGUGAGGGAUACAUCGGAAUCUACUUUUUCGUGGGGGAUAACGUAGGGAAACUUACGCUAAUACCGCAUACGACCUACGGGUGAAAGCAGGGGAUCUUCGGACCUUGCGCGAUUGAAUGAGCCGAUGUCGGAUUAGCUAGUUGGCGGGGUAAAGGCCCACCAAGGCGACGAUCCGUAGCUGGUCGGAGAGGAUGGUCAGCCGCACUGGAACGGAGACACGGACCAGGCUCCUACGGGAGGCAGCAGUGGGGAAUAGUGGACAAUGGGCGCAAGCCUUAUCCAGCCAUACCGCGUGGGUGAAGAAGGCCUUCGGGUUGUAAAGCCCUUUUGUUGGGAAAGAAAAGCAUCAGGUUAAUACCCCGCUGUUCUGACGGUACCCAAAGAAUAAGCACCGGCUAACUUCGUG